GAUUUUUGCUUUGAUGCUGAAGCUGAAGCAGCUGAUGUGGAGCAGUCGGUUCUCGAGAACGUUCCACUCGGCGAGGACGCCAAUCGGGAUCUGCUCCGGGCGCACAUCCGCGUGGGCAAAGUUGGCCCUUUCAUCGGUCGACUGAGAGAAGUCGUCGGCCGAAUCGACAAGGAGCUUUGGCCAGAAGAUGAGUCGCGACAGGAGAUGGAGAACCUGAUGGCUCGACUGGAGGAGAUUCCGAACCGAGUGCAGUCGUGGAAGAAAUCUGCAGCUCGUUGUGGUGCAGAUGUUGCUCUGUCCCUGGUCCGAGUCCAUUGCAAGGAGGUGCGCGAGGAAAAGCUGAAGACAUUGAAGGUGGCCAACACGAAGAAACUUCGAUUCGAAGACUUCAUGGAAACCUUCCUUGAAAGUGCCACCCGCAUCGCCGACGGUAUUGAUCUGGACACGUUCGUAGAGCCCUCCAGUCCUGGCGCCGAUCCAAACAACGCGUAAGAAAACAUUAUCCUCGGUAUGCCGAGUGUCGCUGUGUAAGAAACUUUGGCCACUACUGUUGGCCGUUACAUUCUCGUUUCGGUGUGGGUAAGCUUGAUCCACACCGAGGCACUAUCUUUGGUUGAACUCCGAAUCGAAUCUUUUGCUCUUC